UCUUCAGUGUACGGUUCUUUCUAGAGAUGCUAUGGUGAGCUCAAUCGUUUCCAUUUCACCUGAUCUUCUUCCUUCAUGGUGAUCGGAAUUAAUUUAUUUUAGUGUUCAAUUCAUAUUUUUGUCAUCUUUCUAUGAGUUUUCUUUGUUUCUGAAGGCAUUCACUCCUCUUCCCAAAAGUAUCUAGGUAUUUUUAUUUCUAUAAACCUCGCAAGAGAAUUUGCUAGCCGUUGGCAAAACAGAUUCACCUUUCUUAGGAUUUUGGAUAUGGAAACUGAGUUUUCCGUUUUGGGUAUCAUCAAAAUCCAGCAAAGCUCAGAAGAAUUUUGCAUUGCAGGGUUCAAGUAAAAUUCUUACACUGAAAUUUCUCACGGGUUGGAAGUAAAGAAGCAAAAGGAUCUCUUUGCUUUGAAGGGUUCAAGAGACAUGUAAUUCUUUCAAAGUUAGUGAUAUGGUGUCCAUCUCAUUCAAAUGAUUUGGUAGCCAAUUUUGUUGACUUGGUUUU